rnacentral:lncRNA from 10 species
CGCAGGCUCGGCGUUGGCCUCCGCGGCCCGUGCGAGUGCGCCCUUCUCGGGUCCCCUAGGUCGCGGGGCAGCCGGGGCGGAAGGGGCUUGUUCAUUAUUUUGAGAGUUUGUUGUGAACGUCAUAACCUUUCGUCCUUAAAUAUUGCCGAUACUUGACCUACGCAAGAGACAAUGUCAUGUGAUUCAGCCUAAUAUCUCAGAGGAUGCAGCAUUCAAGGUUCUAUCUUGGAAGCAGAGACUGUGCCCUCACCAGAUGCUGAACCUGCUGAGCACCCUGAUCUUCCACUUCACCUUCAUCAGAACUGGUGCUAAGAAUUCUGAAUUUAUUGAGGAAAUAAAUGUCUGAUUGCAACAAAAGAAAACUUGUCUGGCUUUGGGAAGGAAGAGGCUUAGGAAAAAAAUUAAAGGCGUCUUUACUAGAAGUUCAAGACUGGGGCUGUGGCUGAGAUGUCACAUGGCAGAUAGGAUCACAAAUUUCUGUUGUAUCUGGAUGGAGAUCAGCAGGAGGAUCUAUGGGUGAGAAGAAGCACAGUUACAGAUGGAUUCUAGAGCCUGCUUGCUGACACAGGCUUGCAACUGCGGACUUUAUAAGCUUAGUUUUUAAUCUGCUAUCAGCUAGCAUAAUACCAUAAAUGCAUAAGAAACUAAGUAUUCAGUCUUACGAGAAAUGCUAUCUUGACCUGACCCUUUCUCCAAAUAAAUUGACAAAA